AGUGACGUCAGAGACCUCCCUAAAAGGGAGGGGGUACUCGUUGGAAUCUUCCAUUCCUGCAGGGAGGGAGGGGGCGUGUUGGCCUCUACCAACUGUGAGUCAGGGAAGCUUUAUUUAUAAAAAGCAGUCAAGGAAGCGGGAGUUGUUGUUACCCAUCUUAAAGCAGUUUGGCACCAUUUUAACAACACCGGCUCAAUGCUGUAGAAAUCUGGGAUUUGUAUUUUUGUGAGAUGUUCAACCUUCUCUAUCAUGCAGAUUCUGUGUCAUCUAUCAAUCUGUAAUAAAUGAGACUAAAGAUUUCCUUCCUUGCUGAAGUUUAUCUGCUCCAAAUCAAUAGUCAUACUUGACAAUAAUCUGAAAAAGAAAUAUAUAAGUACAUCCUUGGAUAUGUAUCAAAAGAAAGACAUAGACAAACACCUGAAGCUUUGAAUCGGGUAAGAUAUGUUCUCUUAAAAUAUUUUUAUUAAGUCUUAAAUAUUCACUGGACUAAACAUUUUGGGACAAGGAAAGCAUAAAAUAAUAUGCAAGCAUCUUUCAACACAAUUAUGCCAUCAGCUUAACAUAUCACAACAAAACCCAGGAAGGAACAGGCAAGCAACGCUAUAUCAUAUAAGCCAAUAUAUUCUUUCCGUAGUUACAAAGAUGAGCAUUUACAAGAAGAAAAAAAACCCUCCUAUAGCAAGCAUGGCCGCUAGGAGGCAUUUCUUAAUACACAGUUAAACAUUUUAAAAGUGAAAUGUACCCAAGCCUAGAUAAUGGCUGCCUUUGAAAUUAACCUUGGACACAAUUUUUAAAAGAGAGUUAUUUAGAGGUACAGGAUCACUAAAACCCUUCAGGGGUUUUUUUUUGUAUAAUAUACAUUUCUUAACAUAGUUGUGCUGGAUUCUCCAAACACCAGGAACAUGUCCUGCUGUAUGUGUUCCUUAAUUUAAACAGAAGAGGAAAAGCUCUGCUUCACUUCAUGUUAAUAGCACCGACAUUUGUUCUCUUAGAGUGCACCUACACUGUAGAGUUAAUUCAGCUUGACACCUUUAAUGGCCAGGGCUCAAGGCUAUGGAAUUAUGGGAGUUGUUGUUUUACAAGACCUUUAGACUUUUCUGCCAAAGAAUGUUGACGCCUCAUCAAGCAAAAAAUCACAGGUUUCCAUUGAUAGUUAAAAGUGAUGUCAAACUGCAUUAAUUCUACAUUGUAGAUGCACCUUCCAUCAUAUUUGUCAAUACUGGUCAGAACCACAAUUUUCAUCAGGUGGAUGUGUUUUGUUUUGUCCACUGCUGUAGCAAAUAGAAUUCUUUUAUAUGGUGUCAACUUUGUUAUUCAUCCAAGAUCUUGCAUUUUCAUUUCCUAUAAGAGACUCCCUAACAAUUUAAGAGAUUAAAAAACAGUGGAUAAUUUGAAGUGAUUCAGACUGCUACAUCAGUGAAUAAAGUGUUUCAUAAAACACCCUGUGGUAGUAAUAAUGUGGUGUAAAACUAAGGUAAUAAGGCUGCACACUAAGGCAGGUAUAUUGUUGCACUUUCUGGAAGCUGGAUUGCUCAAUUUUGUAAAUAUAAGAUUACAAAACUUGUGCGCAGCCAUCCUUAGGCAGGUCUUACAUAUCUGCUAUUCCUUUAUAUUCAUAAAAACAAUAUUAUUUGCCUGUUUCCUGUCCAUAUUAUCAAGAGGUAGUUAUAAACUGACCCUUAUCACCAUGUAACUUUCAGAUGGAGGGAGAGGCAAUGAAGAAGGUUAUUACAAAUGUAAGCAGAGUCAGCUGGCAAGAUCUCCAAGAUUCAACUUGAGAUGUGCUAGGUGCCAUAAUGGACUGGAUGAGGAUCAAUGAACUGAAGCUGAAUCUUUAUAAGACAGGAGUUCUGUGGAUUGGUGGCUCUUGAGUCCAGCAACUGAUUAAACAUCAUGCUGUAAAUGGGGCUGACUCCCCCUGAAAGCACAGGAUGUCACAGGCUGCAAUGGUCUUUGUUCCUUGAAUCUGGAGUGGCUUGUGCAGAAUGUUAUCAUACAUCUGAGACACAUCCCGGCUGUAAAAUGGAGGCUGGUCACAGAGAACCACGAGGAAGAAGAAGGAAAGUGGGACAAAAGAUGAUAUUCAGCGAAUGGAGGUACCCAACUGCACUGGCCAUUUCAGCUGCAUAGAAACGAGCUCGGGGCUCUCGGAAGCAACGCUCUCUUUGCAAGUGGAAGAAAAGCUAUAAACAGAGAUGCACAAAGCUGGAUCAUAGGGCUUUUCCAUAUGAAGGUCUCCAAAACAGCAGUUUGCAGCUGAUAAAACUUCACUGAUGGCCAACCAAGAUCCUGAUUGGAACAGGUACAAACCGUGCAUCCUGCUUCAAGUUCCAGUGGAUUCAAAUGGCCUGUGAAUCCAGUUGGAUAUUCCAGUGACUUUGCCAUUUGGUUUUUAUUCCAGUCAAGACCCUUGCCUUGUGUUUCAUCAUUGCCUUUAUACCUUGGACUACCUUGGAGUUAAUCCUGCACUCUAGUCUUGUUUUCUUUAAUUCAGCCCUUGGAAAUAAUCCUGUUUGGACUAUUCUUGAUAUCUCUGGGGAUUUACUUUGAUAUCCAGUUUUGGACUAUGCUCUUUGAGUGGUUUUUAUAGACUCUUACUUCAUGAACUUCAAGUACCUUGCUCUUGUGGAUUUAAACCUAGUUUACUGACUCUGAACUUUAUUUUGCUUUUGUUUGCAUAUAACCUUCAAUAAACAACUUGCUUGCUUAUA